rnacentral:ncRNA from 2 species
GUGCCGGGUCGUGACUGGCGCUUGGGUGGAGUACCACCGGGGAGCGGCCCGGCGGACCGACGCCACUGCCGCGCGCCUGGGCGAUCCAC